GACGUAGGGCGCGAGCGUUGUCCGGAUUUAUUGGGCGUAAAGAGCUCGUAGGCGGCUUGUUGCGUCGACCGUGAAAACCCGCGGCUUAACUGCGGGCUUGCGGUUGAUACGGGCGGGCUGGAGUUCGGUAGGGGAGACUGGAAUUCCUGGUGUAGCGGUGAAAUGCGCAGAUAUCGGGAAGAACACCCGUGGCGAAGGCGGUUCUCUGGGACGGUACUGACGCUGAGACGCGAAAGCGUGGGGAGCGAACAGG
rnacentral:rRNA from 1 species